GGGGAAUUUUCCGCAAUGGGCGAAAGCCUGACGGAGCAAUGCCGCGUGGAGGAGGAAGGCCUGAGGGUUGUAAACUCCUUUUCUCAGAGAAGAUGAGAUGACGGUAUCUGAGGAAUAAGCAUCGGCUAACUCUGUGCCAGCAGCCGCGGUAAGACAGAGGAUGCAAGCGUUAUCCGGAAUGAUUGGGCGUAAAGCGUCUGUAGGUGGCUUUUCAAGUCUGCUGUCAAAGACUGGGGCUCAACCCUGGAAAGGCAGUGGAAACUGAGCAGCUAGAGUGUGGUGGGGGUAGAGGGAAUUCCCAGUGUAGCGGUGAAAUGCGUAGAGAUUGGGAAGAACACCGGUGGCGAAAGCGCUCUGCUAGACCACAACUGACACUCAGGGACGAAAGCUAGGGGAGCGAAUGGGAUUAGAUACCCCAGUAGUC
rnacentral:rRNA from 1 species